rnacentral:rRNA from 1 species
GAAGUGCCAGCCGCCGCGGUAAUACCAGCACCCCGAGUGGUCGGGACGAUUAUUGGGCCUAAAGCAUCCGUAGCCGGCCUUACAAGUCCUCCGUUAAAUCCAGCUGCUUAACAGAUGGGCUGCGGAGGAUACUAUAAGACUAGGAGGCAGGAGAGGCAAGCGGUACUCAGUGGGUAGGGGUAAAAUCCGUUGAUCCAUUGAAGACCACCAGUGGCGAAGGCGGCUUGCCAGAAUGCGCUCGACGGUGAGGGAUGAAAGCUGGGGGAGCAAACCGGAUUAGAUACCCGGGUAGUCCCAGCUGUAAACGAUGCAGACUCGGUGAUGGACUAGCUUUAUGCUGGUCCAGUGCCGCAGGGAAGCCGUUAAGUCUGCCGCCUGGGUAGUACGGUCGCAAGACUGAAACUCAAAGAAAUUGACGGCGC